GAGCAAUCGAGUGAGCUCAGAGUAGUGUCGGUUAACAGAACACAUGUGCUCCUGGCUGAUGCAUUACCCUCCCCGCAGCUGUUAGCCUUCUGGGACCUUGCAAAGCAUGCUCAGUUAGGAUGGAAACCAUAGUUCCUCAGGACUGUCUCCUGCCUCUUCUACUCAGGUGUCCCGCAGCACGACAAUCUCAUCUUAUCGCAGCAGACACCUAGAAACAAAACACAGAACCCACCAGAGAGAACUGGGCGAUGAACGAAUGCAUCAGAAAUUCAAGUCGACUAUGGAAGAAUUACUGCCAAUUGGCAGCUCUCAAUUCUAAACAGAAGUGUCCCAAGCCUACCGAGUUUGACAGACGUUUCUUAGAAUUGGGGAGUUGGGAACAUUGAACUCUUUUUAAGUUCUAUUCCAAUUGUUUUAUGCAUAGGGAAAUGAAAGUCAAUGCAUCAAAAUGAAGACCCAAAGAAACAUUUAAAAACUUGUUUGACUAGUAUUCAGUAUGUGAGACUAAGCAGUAACUCGCCCUCCUAGUUAACCUUGUCCUGGAAUAUAUAUAAGUUAUUUGUAGCCGCCACUGCUAUAAUAUUUUCUGAAGGAUGCCAAGCUGUAUGCAAGAUCUUUUUGCUAAAGUCCAGACUGUCAACACUGA